rnacentral:rRNA from 1 species
AACGUAGGACACAAGCGUUAUCCGGAGUUACUGGGCGUAAAGGGCGUUUAGGCGGGUGAUUAAGUUCACUAUGAAAGCGCCAGGCUAAACCUAGCGAGGCUGGCGGAUACUGGUCAUCUGGAGUAAGGAAGAGGGAGGUAGAAUUCCGCGUGUAGUGGUGAAAUGCGCAGAUAUCAGGAGGAACACCGGUGGCGAAGGCGGGUCUCUGGGCCGAUACUGACGCUGAGGCGCGAAAGCUAGGGGAGCGAACAGG